CAACCUCAAGUCAUAUGGGAAUACCCCCUGACAAAAGCAUAUUAAUUAGGGGAGGAAAAGAAACUAACAAGGAUUUUAGAGUAGGGGCGAGCGAAAAGAAAUCACUUCAGCACAUAAGUCACUAUGUAUGUGCGGCAAAGGGGGGGUGCAGGUUGAGGAACAUCAACUUUCUAACAUGAGAAGUCAGGGAGUAACGUCACCCGUCUCCAGCUACACGCCCCAUCGGGUAGACGCUCCCAAAUAGCGUACGCUUUUAUUCUUAACAGUCUUCUCAAAGAACCAGCGACUGUCGCCAGCAGCAGUUACGAACCAAUCAGAAGCGUUAAAGUCGAUAAC
rnacentral:ncRNA from 1 species